rnacentral:misc_RNA from 1 species
GUACAUUAGUGCUUGCGCACGACAAUAAAUUUCAUUACAUUCGAGUGUGUGUAAAAAUCCUCUGCCGGCCGAAGCUAGCAAGAGGCCAAAGGUGCACAGGGUAUUGGAUGAAAGCCACCGACGUGCACUUGCCGAAGCCGGCCAGCACUGAAGGCGACGAUUCGCAAUCAUUAAUGAUCCUUCCGCAGGUUCACCUACGGAAA